UACGUAGGGGGCAAGCGUUGUCCGGAAUUAUUGGGCGUAAAGCGCGCGCAGGCGGUUCUUUAAGUCUGGUGUCCAUAGUGGCGGCACCACCGUGAUGCACUGGAAACUGGGGAACUUGAGUCAGAAGAGGAGAGCGGAAUUCCACGUGUAGCGGUGAAAUGCGUAGAGAUGUGGAGGAACACCAGUGGCGAAGGCGGCUCUCUGGACUGUAACUGACGCUGAGGCGCGAAAGCGUGGGGAGCAAACAGG
rnacentral:rRNA from 1 species